rnacentral:misc_RNA from 1 species
AACGCAUAUGGCACCUGCCAGCCCUGCUGGAAGGUAUGCCUGUCUGAGAAUCACACUAUCGCUGAUCCGAUUGCACCCGUGCACUUGGUCGACAUGGGCCUUCAGCACUGAUCGCCCCGAAUUGCUCGCGAUCGUCGUGAUAUAGUGGGGGCAGCGAUGCCGUCCAGUGUGUCGACGAUCAACCCGUGCUCGUGAUCUCAGAUCAGGCAAGGCUACCCGCUGAACUUAA